rnacentral:snoRNA from 1 species
UGGCCUGUGAUGAUAUCUGGAAGCAAAAACACCAUCUUUCGGGACUGAUUUGGCCUUCAGCAGCCAUGCUGUCACUUCCAAAAUCUCGAGGUCU